GCAGCCGCGGUAAUUCCAGCUCCAAUAGCGUAUAUUAAAGUUGUUGCAGUUAAAAAGCUCGUAGUUGAACCUUGGGCCUGGCUGGCCGGUCCGCCUCACCGCGUGCACUGGUCCGGCCGGGCCUUUCCUUCUGGGGAGCCUCAUGCCCUUCACUGGGUGUGUUGGGGAACCAGGACUUUUACUUUGAAAAAAUUAGAGUGUUCAAAGCAGGCCUAUGCUCGAAUACAUUAGCAUGGAAUAAUAGAAUAGGACGUGUGGUUCUAUUUUGUUGGUUUCUAGGACCGCCGUAAUGAUUAAUAGGGAUAGUCGGGGGCAUCAGUAUUCAAUUGUCAGAGGUGAAAUUCUUGGAUUUAUUGAAGACUAACUACUGCGAAAGCAUUUGCCAAGGAUGUUUUCAUUAAUCAGUGAACGAAAGUUAGGGGAUCGAAGACGAUCAGAUACCGUCGUAGUCUUAACCAUAAACUAUGCCGACUAGGGAUCGGGCGAUGUUAUCUUUUUGACUCGCUCGGCACCUCACGAGAAAUCAAAGUCUUUGG
rnacentral:rRNA from 1 species